GAUGAAGAACGUAGCGAAAUGCGAAAAGUAAUGUGAAUUGCAGAAUUCAGUGAACCAUCGAAUCUUUGAACGCACAUUGCGCCCGCUGGAACUCCGGCGGGCACGCCUGUCCGAGCGUCAUUUCAACCCUCAGGCCCCCCUUCGCGGGCGGGCCUGGUGUUGGGGCCCGGCCGCUACCCUGCGGCCGUCCCCUAAAUUCAGUGGCGGCCUCGCCGUGAUCCCUUGCGUAGUAAUGCACCUCGCACCGGAGAGCGCCGUGGCCACGCCGUAAAACCCCCAAUUUUCAAUGGUUGACCUCGGAUCAGGUGGGAAUACCCGCUGAACUUAAGCAUAUCAAAAGCGGAGGA
rnacentral:misc_RNA from 1 species